ACGGCUCAGUAACACGUGGAUAACCUACCCUAAGGUGGGAGAUAACCCCGGGAAACUGGGGAUAAUACCCCAUAGUCUAUGGAAGCUGGAAUGCUCUAUAGUUGAAAGAUUUAUCGCCUUAGGAUGGGUCUGCGGCCGAUUAGGUAGUUGUUGGGGUAACGGCCCAACAAGCCUUUGAUCGGUACGGGUUGUGGGAGCAAGAGCCCGGAGAUGGAUUCUGAGACACGAAUCCAGGCCCUACGGGGCGCAGCAGGCGCGAAAACUUUACAAUGCGGGAAACCGUGAUAAGGGAACUCCGAGUGCCCGUAAACGCGGGCUGUCCAUUUGCUUAAAAAACAGGUGAAGAAAGGGCCGGGCAAGACCGGUGCCAGCCGCCGCGGUAAUACCGGCGGCUCGAGUGGUGGCCACUAUUACUGGGCUUAAAGCGUCCGUAGCUUGGUUGUUAAGUCUCUUGGGAAAUCUGUCGGCUUAACCGACAGGCGUUUAAGGGAUACUGGCAAUCUAGGGACCGGGAGAGGUGAGAGGUACUCCAGGGGUAGGAGUGAAAUCCUGUAAUCCUUGGGGGACCACCUGUGGCGUAGGCGUCUCACCAGAACGGCUCCGACAGUGAGGGACGAAAGCUGGGGGAGCAAACCGGAUUAGAUACCCGGGUAGUCCCAGCCGUAAACGAUGCGCGUUAGGUGUAUCGGUGACCACGAGUCACCGAGGUGCCGAAGGGAAACCGUGAAACGUGCCGCCUGGGAAGUACGGUCGCAAGGCUGAAACUUAAAGGAAUUGGCGGGGGAGCAC
rnacentral:rRNA from 1 species